rnacentral:lncRNA from 1 species
AGGCACUUCGCUAGUAUCUGUGCAAUCGUUUAAACCAAGAACGCAUGGACUGGGGGUUACCAUUGAAUGGCCUCACGAAGAGUAAUCGUAAUCGUCCAGGCUAUGGACCUUGGAUGCCGCGGCCUAUUCAUGUGAGACAGAGUGACAAGCCAGCGAGAUGAUGUUUACACAUGAAGUCCUCCGGAAGACAUUCCCACAAGUAAGGCUUUCCACGGAAAUGCAGGUAAGAAAACCAUUGACAAGGAUUGAAUCACAGUGCUUUUGCAUGGUUUAGAACGCCGUGGAUGGAUCCAAGGAGUACAAAGGCUGGAAUGUUUAAUUUACCAAGGCAAGUUGGAACAGCGGAGUAUAUGGAGUGUUGUGCUCGACUUGGAGCUAUAUCUGACCGGCGGCAAACUUAAGGCUGGCUUCCUCAGUGUUAACUCUAUCAAUGCCUCUAGAAAUACGUUUUCUUGCGCAUCCGCUCGCAGUGUC